rnacentral:rRNA from 1 species
ACCGGCGGCUCGAGUGGUGGCCACUAUUACUGGGCUUAAAGCGUUCGUAGCUGGCUUGUUAAGUCUCUGGGGAAAUCUUCCGGCUCAACCGGAAGGCGUCUCAGGGAUACUGGCAGGCUAGGGACCGGAAGAGGGGAGAGGUACUCCAGGGAGAGCGGCGAAAUCGUGUAAUCCUUGGGGGACCAACCGAGGCGAAGGCGUCUCACCAGGACGGCUCUCACAGGGAGUCACGAAACCUGUUGUAGCAACCCG